rnacentral:rRNA from 1 species
CUGCUGCCUUCCGUAGGAGUCUGGUCCGUGUCUCAGUACCAGUGUGGGGGACCUUCCUCUCAGAACCCCUACGCAUCGUCGCCUCGGUGGGCCGUUACCCCGCCGACUAGCUAAUGCGCCGCAUGCCCAUCCGCCACCGGAUCGCUCCUUUGGCCACCGGAGGAUGCCCUCCGGUGGCGUCACGGGGUAUUAGGCCGCGUUUCCGCGGGUUAUCCCCCUGUGGCGGCCAGGUUGCAUACGUGUUACUCACCCGUGCGCCGGUCGCCGGCGGGCG